GCCCCGGCCGUCCUCCAAGUCAGGCCCCGGCCGUGCCCCCGGUCAGGUCCCGGUUGUGUUCCAUGUCAGGCCCCGGUCAUGCCCCUGGUCAGAUCCCGGUAGUCCUCCAUGUCAAGCCCCGGUCAUCCCCUGAUCAGGCCCUGGUCAUCCUCCAUGGCAGGCUCUGGCUGUGCCCCGGGUCAGGUCCCGGUCAGGCCUCCAUGUCAGGUCCCGGUCGUGCCCCUGAUCAGGUCCCAGUCGUUCUCCGUGUCAGGCCCCAGGUCAGAUCCCUGUCGUCUUCCACGUCGGGCCCCAGGUCAGGCCCCGGUCGUCCUCCACGUCGGGCCCCAGCUCAGGCCCCGGUCGUCCUCCACGUCGGGCCCCAGCUCAGGCCCCGGUCGUCCUCCACGUCGGGCCCCAGCUCAGGCCCCGGUCGUCCUCCACGUCGGGCCCCAGCUCAGGCCCCGGUCGUCCUCCACGUGGGGCCCCAGGUCAGGCCUUGGUCUUCCUCCAGGUCAGGCCCCGGGGGCGGCCCCGGUCGUCCUCCGGGUGAGGCCCCGGCCCUGGCGGGGUGAGGGGGCGUCGCCGGCCCGGGGGCUCAGACGGGGAGGCCUUGGGGGAGGCCCCGGCCGAGCGUGGCGCCCAGGGCGUAGCGCAGGGCCGCCGCGCCGCCCCAGGGCAGCCGUCCGAGCAGCGCGGCCACGAGCACGGCCGUCUGCGCCGCCGCCCCCAGCGCGGCCAGCAGGGCGCCGCGCCUCAGCAGCGCGCCGUACAGCGUGGCCGCCAGCGCCGCCAGGUAGAGCCCGGCGGCCCGCCACGGCAGCUCCUCGGCCCGCCGCGCCCGCCGCCACACCCACAGCCACGCCGCCGCCGCCGCCAGCCCCGACCCCAGCGACCACAGCAGCGCCAACCUGCGGGCCCACGGCCCCGCCAGCGCCACGCACGCCGCCCACAGCCCCACGCCCAGCCCGCCCCACGCCCAGCGCCGCCAGCCCCCCGGGCACCGCCCCCCGCCCCCCGACGAAGCCGCCUCCGCCCUGCGGCCGAACGGGCUCAGCCGGGCCAGCCAGCCCCGCGCCCCCUGCGCCCCCUGCGCCCCCUCCGCCCCCUCCGCCGCCUCCGCCGCCGGCCCGGCGCCCUUGGAGCGCGCCAGGUAGUCCUGCAGCUGCCGGUGGAGGUCCGCCAUCUUGGGGCCGGGGGAGGGGGGGGGAGGAGGGAGAAGGAGCCACGCUCCAUCCGGGGACUUCCGGGAACAUCCGGGAACCUCCGGGGACACGUGACCCUGCCUCCUCCUCCCCCCCCCCAGGGGUGUGA
rnacentral:lncRNA from 1 species